rnacentral:rRNA from 1 species
GACGAACGCUGGCGGCGUGCUUAACACAUGCCAGUCGAACGGAAAGGCCCUGCUUCUGUGGUGUGCUCGAGUGGCUCAAGGGUGAGUAACAUGAGAGACACCUGCCUUUUCCUCUGGGAACACUUCUGGAAGCCGGGGCUACUGCGUGUAAUUAGCGCCAGCUGUGUGGUGGGGGGUGGGUAGUUUAGGCGGUUGGGGUUGGAGUCGCGGCUUAGCAGGUUGUUGGUGGGGUUGUGGCUUACGAAGUCUUUGACGGGUAGCCGGCCUGAGAGGGUGACCGGCCACAUGGGGACUGAGCUACGGCCCAGACUCCGACGGGAGGCAGCAGUGGGGAAUAUUGCACUAUGGGCGGAAGCCUGAUGCAGCAACGCCGCGUGCGGGAUGACGGCCUUCGUGUUGUAAACCGCUUUCGCCUGUGACGAAGCGUGAGUGACGGUAGUGGGAAAAGAAGCACCGGCUAACUACGUG